AUUGAACGCUGGCGGCAUGCCUUACACAUGCAAGUCGAACGGCAGCGCGGACUUCGGUCUGGCGGCGAGUGGCGAACGGGUGAGUAAUACAUCGGAACGUACCCUGUUGUGGGGGAUAACUUGUCGAAAGAUUAGCUAAUACCGCAUACGACCUGAUGGUGAAAGUGGGGGAUCGCAAGGCCUCACGCAGCAGGAGCGGCCGAUGUCUGAUUAGCUAGUUGGUGGGGUAAAGGCCCACCAAGGCGACGAUCAGUAGCUAGUCUGAGAGGACGAUCAGCCACACUGGGACUGAGACACGGCCCAGACUCCUACGGGAGGCAGCAGUGGGGAAUUUUGGACAAUGGGGGCAACCCUGAUCCAGCAAUGCCGCGUGUGUGAAGAAGGCCUUCGGGUUGUAAAGCACUUUUGUCCGGAAAGAAAUCGCGCUGGUUAAUACCUGGCGUGGAUGACGGUACCGGAAGAAUAAGCACCGGCUAACUACGUG
rnacentral:rRNA from 1 species